GAUGAACGCUAGCUACAGGCUUAACACAUGCAAGUCGAGGGGUAACAAGAGAAAAGCUUGCUUUACUUGUUGACGACCGGCGCACGGGUGAGUAACGCGUAUCCAACCUGCCUAUAACUAGGGAAUAACCUUGCGAAAGUAAGACUAAUACCCUAUGAUUUCCUUUGAUGACAUCAGAUUAGGAAUAAAGAUUUAUCGGUUAUAGAUGGGGAUGCGUCUGAUUAGCUUGUUGGCGGGGUAACGGCCCACCAAGGCAACGAUCAGUAGGGGUCCUGAGAGUAAGGUCCCCCACAUUGGAACUGAGACACGGUCCAAACUCCUACGGGAGGCAGCAGUGAGGAAUAUUGGUCAAUGGGCGGAAGCCUGAACCAGCCAAGUAGCGUGCAGGAUGACGGCCCUAUGGGUUGUAAACUGCUUUUAUACAGGAAUAAAGUUAGCCACGUGUGGUUAUUUGUAGGUACUGUAUGAAUAAGGACCGGCUAAUUCCGUGCCAGCCGCCGCGGUAA
rnacentral:rRNA from 1 species